GGGAAGCCACGCCCUUCUCUGCCGGCGUGACGUCAUCGCGCACGCACGCACGCACGCACGGGGGGCGUGGCCUCGUGACACAGCAGCGCCACUACGGAGGCCGGGAGGGGUCAAAAAGGACGCGGGGCCCACGAGGCCCUAUAGGGCCCUAUGGGGGCGGAGGGGGAGGGGGUCCUGAAGGCGGCUUUUAGGGCUUUAUAGGGCCCUAUGGGGCCUUAGAGCUGCCCUAUAGGGGCCGAAGGACCCCAUAAAGUUGAGCAAGAGGGGCCAUAUGGGGGUCUGUAGGUGCCCUAUAGGGGCUUAUAGGGUGCCCCAUAGGGGCCCUAUUGGUAUCUACAGCGAUCCUAAAGCUAUGGGGUCUUGCAGAUGCCAUAUAGGGACCCCAAAGAGGCUGAUAGAGGGCUAUAGGAACCUGAAACGACCCUAUAGGUGUCUAUGGGUACCUUAAAGCAGCCUCUGGGGCCUAUGGGGUGGGAUUCGGGGUCUCUGUGGGGUCUAUGGGGUGGGAUUUGAGGUCUAUAUGGGGUCUAUGGGGUGGGAUUUGAGGUCUAUAUGGGGUCUAUGGGGUGGGAUUUGAGGUCUAUAUGGGAUCCUGGGGUCUAUGGGGUGGGAUUUGAGGUCUAUAUGGGGUCUAUGGGGUGGGAUUUGGGGUCUAUAUGGGAUCUAUACGGGAUUUGGGGUCUAUGGGGAGGGCUUUGGGGUCUAUAUGGGGUGUAUGGGGUGGGAUUUGAGGUCUAUAUGGGGUCUAUGGGGUGGGAUUUGAGGUCUAUAUGGGAUCCUGGGGUCUAUGGGGUGGGAUUCGGGGUCUAAAUGGGGUUUAUGGGGUGGGAUUUGGGGUCUAUAUGGGGUCUAUGGGGUGGGAUUUGAGGUCUAUAUGGGAUCCUGGGGUCUAUGGGGUGGGAUUGGGGGUCUAUAUGGGAUCCUGGAGUCUAUGGGGUGGGCUUUAGGGUCUAUACGGGGUCUAUGGGGUGGGAUUUGGGGUCUAUACGGGGUCUAUACGGGAUUUGGGGUCUAUGGGGUGGGCUUUGAGGUCUGUAUGGGGUCUAUGGGGUCGGAUUUGGGGUUUACAUGGGAUCUAUAUGGAUUUGGGGUCUAUUGGGUGGGAUUUGGGGUCUAUAUGGGAUCUAUAUGGGAUGCUGGGGUCUGUGGUGUGGGUUUUAGGGUCUCUAUGGGGUCUAUAGGGUGGGCUUUGGGGUCUGUAUGGGAUCUAUAUGGGAUCUUAGACUCUAUGGGUCUAUACGGGAUCUGUAUGGGAUCUAUAUGGAAUCCUGGGGUCUUUGGGGUGUGCUUUGGGAUCUGUAUGGGGUCUAUGGGGUGGGAUUUGGGGUCUAUAUGGGAUCUAUGCGGGAUUUGGGGUCUAUGGGGUGGGCUUUGGGGUCUAUAUGGGGUCUAUAUGGGAUCUUAGACUCUAUGGGUCUAUAUGGGAUCUGUAUGGGAUCUGUAUGGAAUCCUGGGGUCUAUGG
ensembl:lncRNA